rnacentral:rRNA from 1 species
GAUGAACGCUGGCGGCGUGCCUAAUACAUGCAAGUCGAGCGAACGGACGAGAAGCUUGCUUCUCUGAUGUUAGCGGCGGACGGGUGAGUAACACGUGGAUAACCUACCUAUAAGACUGGGAUAACUUCGGGAAACCGGAGCUAAUACCGGAUAAUAUUUUGAACCGCAUGGUUCUAAAGUAAAAGUCGGUCUUGCUGUCACUUAUAGAUGGAUCCGCGCUGCAUUAGCUAGUUGGUAAGGUAACGGCUUACCAAGGCAACGAUGCAUAGCCGACCUGAGAGGGUGAUCGGCCACACUGGAACUGAGACACGGUCCAGACUCCUACGGGAGGCAGCAGUAGGGAAUCUUCCGCAAUGGGCGAAAGCCUGACGGAGCAACGCCGCGUGAGUGAUGAAGGUCUUCGGAUCGUAAAACUCUGUUAUUAGGGAAGAACAUAUGUGUAAGUAACUGUGCACAUCUUGACGGUACCUAAUCAGAAAGCCACGGCUAACUACGU